AUCUUACACUUACGGCCCUUUAUUUUAUACGUCUGUGAAGUUUCAGUGACUAAAAUUCUUCCAAUUUUACUCUAAUUUUGACUCCUCACACUGCAGUUACUGCCAAGUUUGUCUAUUCGUACAGUCACAGAUUAAGCUUUAACUUUUUAGGAUUGAUAUAGAAGUAAUAGGGCAGAAUGGUAAUAGAAUUCUCGUUUGGGUUUUGUACUGAUAAACUGGGUAAUCUGGAAUUUUGGAUAUGAAGGAGUGUGAAAGCAUUAAAAGUAAGUGUUACGAGGGUCGACAUUGCAUGAGUGUGUGUUUAGGUUUUGUUUUAUUCGAUAAUUAACAUGGAAUCUUCAUAUGAUAUAGUUAUGUGGUAGUGUGUCAUGUCUCUAAAAGGCUCCAGCAAAUCUCUGCCCUUAAACGAAUCGGAUGGUUUACAUUAUUACAUGUGUAUAUUUGCAUUUUCGUAUGUUAUUUGUAGGUCAUAGUUAUUUGUUGUUUGUAUUUCAGGAGUUGUUGGUAGUGGGCCAUGUUGGUCGUGUGUAGUCCAGUAGAGUAAUGGGCUUGUUGCUCAAGUCCUUAGGUAUUACAGUUAUUUUAAGCAUGUUGCUUAAGGGUGGAGUCAUGUAGAUCGUGUUCUGAAAUCUGUUAGGAACCGAUUGUAUUUAUUUGCUUUGUUUUUCAAGUAAUGGCAUCCAGAAAA